CAACGUAGCCACUCCAUCUACGCAUUUCCAGUAUUUGUCACAGGAAAUGUCGUGAGCGAAGAAGCCGUUUUCCUUCGGGCAAACAAACGCAUCGCUGCGAAUGUUCUGGGCCGAAGCUGUCGUGAUCGAAAGGAAAUCCAGGUGAAAGCUGGCGAGACUGGAGAAAGUUGUUAUCUCGAAUUAAAUCAAGCCACGAUAAGAAAGAAGAAACGGGUUCCUCUACCCUUCAUCGAAGGAUAUCCAAGAGCUCAGACGUCAUCGUGGUCCGUACAAGUGAAAGCUCAUCGGUGCAUGUUGCACGUGCCUGCGAUAAUCAUCACCCGACAACAUAAAAAGUACAAACGAAGCAAAGAGAAAUGGCGUGAAACGAAAUGUAACACUUGGUUUCCCAAUGCGUUCCAAUAUCUUUGUUGGCACCUGGAACCUUCUAAAGGCCAAAAAAGUGAAAGGACAGGAAACCGCAGAACAUUCAACCCGACGCGUGUAUGAUUCGAUUGUUCAUUGAUUUUUAUUGUGUCGUACGAAAUUGCCGUACUGUACCGAUCUGGGCUCGACGAACUCUCCAACAAUCAGGUAAUGAAAUGGCAAUUUGUUAUGUCAGUUUGAUUUUCUUCUUGUGUCACAGGCACGAUUUGAAGAAAGAAAAAAAAACUAGCCAUUUUAAGUUAACAGCCGUCGUGGCUUGGAAAUCGAAACAAUAUCCCCAACUAUGUGGUCGUGACUUGAGGAAAAAAAAAGGAGAAAGAAUUUGAAUAAAAAUUAAUAAUAAAGUGAUGGAUUGGGAAAUCACCGAAAGAAAGCUUGACCAGUGCUGGUGUGUGUGUGUGGUAAGUUUACUUGCUUGACCCGUCGGUCUCUUUUCUCUCCCAUUUCUUUUGGUUUCGUGAUUGGAGCAGCAUAAGAAGUGCCUGCGUUCACCAGAAAUGGAAAUCGUUUCACGACGGGGGGAAGGAGAGCUCUGUAGAGAGAGGGAGAGUGAACAAAAUAAAAAGGAAGUUAAAGAAAAGGGACGUGUACAGUCAUAUUGCCAGAAGGAAAUCAUGCACCAGAAAAACGCAAAAAAACAUUUCUCGGAAAAAAAGAGAUUUCUCCGUUGAGCCAAUUUCGCCCAUUUGACAGUUGCUGCAUGUCAACACAAUCGUUUCGAUUUCCAUUGUCUCCGUGAUUUACGUGUUUGUGCUCACUGACAUCAGGUAAACAGACCUGAGAAAUUUAAAAAGAUGUAUCACUUUCUCCUUGAAAAAUACACAGGUACAAAACUUGCCUAUUCCAAACAUAUUGUAAAUGGCAAUUUGUGCUGGAACGUAAAUUCUGUUGCUAUAUGGAGGUCUAGAGGUAAAAGCUCAAAGUUAAUAUGCUUAAAAAGAAAAUAACCAACAACAAAAAGAGAAACUUUUACUAAAUGGUGGGUUUGUCUCUUACCCUCGAGCCAAACUUUUAGAAAAGAAUUUCGACAAAAAAAAACCCAAACUAUUCCUGUAAUUUUAUUUCACUUUUCUCAAGGUGAUUUUCCAGCUGUUGUCGGUUGUUUCGUCUUCGGUGUUCCGGUCAAGGACCAACAACAAAAAAAAAGGUAAAUCAAAGUGUUUUCGAGUUGGGGGGAGAGUCGAGGUGAAAACUGUCUGCUGUUAAACCACGUGGGAAUAGACCCAUCAUUUGGCUUUAUAGCAGAUAAAGUGUCAUGGUGUUAUCUCUUUGUAACAACGUGAAAAGAAGACGAGGUUAAAAUAAAAACAACCUUAUUUUAAGGAAGGAGAGGAGUGAACGAAUCUUUAUGCUUAGAGCUCGAAGCGCUGGCUAAAACUGCGGCGCUGAGGCUCUGGCGUCAAAUGGCGUGGCAGAACGUAGCCGGAGGAGAAUGGAUUGACAUUCUCACCCAUAUGCCGAGGCUGCAGGACGGGUGAAGCGGGGACCGAGGCUGAUCCUGCUCCUCCGCCACUUGCGUAACCAUUGCCUCCACCGCUCCCGGAUGAUUGAGACAACCGGCGAGCGGGUGGCUGCGGUGGAGGAUGUUGCGGAGGCGAAGUGAUAAGCCUUCGGAAGAAAUGCGACGGCCGAAUAACGAGGAGGAAGGCGCUGACCGUUGAUCGGAGCUGGACUGGUGAUGUCCGUUGUUUCGUCCGUGAGACUGGUCGGAACUGGAACUGGGCUUCAACAAGCGAGAAAA